rnacentral:pre_miRNA from 1 species
ACUCUCUGUAUCUGUGCCGAGAUUUCGUCACACACCAGAACAAAAGAGCUGAUGAGACUCCCAAGAUAGGUGAAACA